UACGUAGGGCGCAAGCGUUGUCCGGAAUUAUUGGGCGUAAAGAGCUCGUAGGCGGUUUGUCGCGUCUGCUGUGAAAACCUAAGGCUCAACCUUGGGCUUGCAGUGGGUACGGGCAGACUAGAGUGCGGUAGGGGUGACUGGAAUUCCUGGUGUAGCGGUGGAAUGCGCAGAUAUCAGGAGGAACACCGAUGGCGAAGGCGGAUCUCUGGGCCAUUACUGACGCUGAGGAGCGAAAGCGUGGGGAGCGAACAGG
rnacentral:rRNA from 1 species